rnacentral:rRNA from 1 species
ACUGAACGCUGGCGGCAUGCCUUACACAUGCAAGUCGAACGGCAGCGCGGGGCAACCUGGCGGCGAGUGGCGAACGGGUGAGUAAUAUAUCGGAACGUACCCAAGAGUGGGGGAUAACGUAGCGAAAGUUACGCUAAUACCGCAUACGAUCUACGGAUGAAAGCAGGGGAUCUUCGGACCUUGUGCUCCUGGAGCGGCCGAUAUCUGAUUAGCUAGUUGGUGAGGUAAAGGCUCACCAAGGCGACGAUCAGUAGCUGGUCUGAGAGGACGACCAGCCACACUGGAACUGAGACACGGUCCAGACUCCUACGGGAGGCAGCAGUGGGGAAUUUUGGACAAUGGGCGCAAGCCUGAUCCAGCAAUGCCGCGUGAGUGAAGAAGGCCUUCGGGUUGUAAAGCUCUUUUGUCAGGGAAGAAACGGCGGUGGCUAAUAUCCACUGCUAAUGACGGUACCUGAAGAAUAAGCACCGGCUAACUACGUGCCAGCCGCCGCCGUAA